CGUCUAAUCGGAAUGAUGGGAUGGGCCGUAGUCCAGCAUAUUCAGCCUAGUGUCAGUGAUAGUGAGAACUAUGAUCGUGUACGCAGCGCGUGUUAUUUGUGAAUUUAGUCGGUCUGUGUUAGAUGUCCUGCUACUAAAAAGUAUUUCCAGGUUCUGUCGAUCCUGAUGACGCGUUAAAUGGGAUUCCCCAGGGACCGUCCGUAGUUCCUGAGGGACCAGGGGCGUCCUUCCGCUCCCGCGGUGUGACGACACUGCUUUUUACGCCGUGUGGCAGGAAUCGCCAGUGAAAGAAUGUGGAAUGGAGUAUGCAGAUGAAGAGGAAAUGUAGAAGAACCAUUUCUAAAGCAUAAUUAUAACGGUCGCGUCGGUUCGUGGUUCUGGAGCUGUUCUAAGGCUUUUCACAGCAUUUUAAGGUCACACUUUUUAUUUGCGUUCAUACUUUCUUUGAUUCGAAUCAUAUAUAAUCCUUUGUAUUUCUUGUCGUUUGUAAAAAUCACAAGAAAUAAUAUCUUUAAUUUUUUUCGAGGUGUCUAUUUCUCAAAAUAAUUUAAAACCAAUUUGACUUUUACUCAGUUAUGCUUAAUUUAUUAUUAAAACACAUUUUUUUUGCUCAAAGUUUAAUGAAAUGUGUGCCAGGAAAUCGGAUCUUCAAUUAACCAUUUUCUUUAUUUCAAGUAUUUUUAUAACAAACAUUAUUAUUUUUUAUAUUUUUAUCUAGUCUCGGUAGUGUUGAAUGGGGAAUGCUAAGGUAAUUGAGGUUCACAGCCUUUCUUACUUUGGUGUUUUCUGUUUAGUGUUAUUUGAGAUUAGAUUAUUUCUAAAAUCAUUUUUAUUUUCUGUAAUUUCAAACUAAAUUUAAUCACUCUAUUCUAGUCUCUGUAAUGUUGAAUCGAGAGUGCUAAGCCAAUGGAGAUUCCAAGUCUUCCAUUGUUUUAGUGUUCUCUUUUUAGCAUUAUUUGGGAUUAGGUUCAUUUUAAAAAAUUCUAGAGGACAUAAUUUUUAUUUUCUGUAAUUUUAAACUAAAUUUCAAACAAUAACCACUCUAUUCCAGUCUCUGUAAUAGUUUUCUGUAGGGCAUUGUCAUAGGAUUAAAUCUAAUUUUUAAUUGAUACAGAUUUAUCUCGUUAAAGACACCCUAAAUUUUUCUUGUUACCUAUAGUAGUAAAUCUAUAAUUUUUGUGGCCUUGAGAUGUCCGAUGUGCAAGGUCUCAGUCGUAGUACCUUCUUCACUAACUGUUGCCUUAAGGUACUCUUGUCCUUAAGGCUGUUUCUGAGGAGGCACGACGAUUGGUGCAGGUUUGGAACGAAGAUUUUCUGGAAAAGGACAGUAGGAUGGAGAGCAUGGAACGAGAUAAAAUCAGGUUAGUGAGCGUAUAUUUUUGUACAAGGGAUGCAUAUCGUGGGGAGUGCUCUGCAAAAAACGUAAGUUUUUUUAAAAAUAUUUUCGUGGUUAUUUUUCCUGGUUUAUUUGGUUGUUCGUUUAUUUCCCUGGAGAUGGCGUGAGCGCGGUCCUGCAGGAGCUAAAGUCACCUGUGGGGCCCCUCACAGAAGCGAAGCAGAGUGUCGAGUCGACCUCUACCGGGGCUAAAGUCCCCUGUAUGAGCGUCCUCACAGAAGCACGUUGGGUUGAGAUCCGCAGGGGCUAACGUCCUCUGUGGAGGCUCCUCACAGAAGCAAAGAACAUGCUUUCCUCUCGAAAGCAGCCGAAGUCCAUUGGGUUGUCAUGUCUAUCGGUCUUUUUAUUGGGUUGUUAUGUCUAUCGGUUUUUCUUAAUUUGAUGUUCUUAUAUUUAGCUCUGUUCAUAUUAUCUAAGUCAAAUUAAAAUCUUGAAAAUCUCUAACAGUUAUUUUUAUUUUUUUAAAUUUAACAUGUAGGUGUAGGUGAUUUUCUUUAACUUCUUAAUUUUUUUAACUCACUUUUAUUUAAUUAUUACUAUUUUUGAGUAAACGCAUGUCAAUAUCUAGCAGUUCGAUCACUAAAUGUUUAAUACAAAUAGUCUAAAUUGUCUAAAUUUAUUUUUAUAUUUCCAAUUCAAGUUCAGAAAAAUUCUAGGCCCCAGAAAAAAUGAAUCAAUUUUUUUAAGUUG